rnacentral:rRNA from 1 species
AUAUUCACACAGCCUCCCAGAUACAUAGCAUGAAUACGAUUAUUGAUUGGUUAUCAUCGAUAUAGACAGUGGGCAUAGAUUAUGUCAAGUAUCUGAUUGUUAAGCUACGUUGCGAAGCAUGCAGAUGUUUCAUAUCAGACGAAGAUAGGGAUCAAGCAUCAGAUCGUCGUAGUCCUAUCUAUAACUAGCCGACUAGGGAUGGAAUGGAAAUCCCAUUCGGUACCUAUGAGAAAUCAAAGUCUUUGGUCUGGGGGGAGUAUGGUCGCAAGACUGAAACUAAAGAAAUUGACGGAAGGGCACCACCAGGAGUGGAGCUGCGGCUUAAUUUGACUCAACACGGGGAAACUUACCAGAACAAGAAAUAGUAAGGAUUGACAGAUUGAUAGCUCUUCUGAUUCUAUGUUUGUUGUUGCUUGCCCGUUCUAGUGGUGGAGUGAUUGUCUGGUUAAUUCCGAUAACGAACGAGACCUUAACUGCUAACUAGUCUAUUACAUUUCAUGUAAUUGACUUCUUAGAGGGACUAUGUAUAUCAAGUACAAGAAAAGUAUGAGACAAUAACAGGUCUGUGAUGCCCUUAUAUGUCCUGGGCUGCACGCGUGCUACACUGAUGCAUACAACAAGUGCCUAGCUAGACAUAGUAUGGCAAUCUCGAAUAUAUAUCGUGAUGGGGAUAGAUCUUUGCAAUUAUAGAUCUUGAACGAGGAAUUCCUAGUAAGUGCAAGUCAUCAUCUGCAUUGAUUAUGUCCCUGCCCUUUAUACACACCGCCCGUCGCUCCUACCGAUACCGGAUGAUCCGGUGAACCUGUGGACCCAUGGGAAAAAUAAGUAAACUCUAUAUCCCUUAGAAGGAGAAGUCGACAGAAUCGGAU